UGUGAGCCAGGUUGGUUUCUAUCUUUUAAAUUAUAAAAUAUUUUAGUACGAAAGGAUUAAAUAUUUUAAUUUAAUUAUUAUAUUUUUUGAAUUUUAUUAAGUUAAAUAAAAAUUUUAUGUUAAUAUAUAAUGUGUGUAUGUAUGCAUAUAUGGUACAUAUAUGUAUACAUAUAUAUAAA
rnacentral:rRNA from 1 species